GAUGAACGCUGGCGGCGUGCCUAAUACAUGCAAGUCGAGCGAACAGACGAGGAGCUUGCUCCUCUGACGUUAGCGGCGGACGGGUGAGUAACACGUGGAUAACCUACCUAUAAGACUGGGAUAACUUCGGGAAACCGGCGCUAAUCCCGGAUAAUAUAUUGAACCGCAUGGUUCAAUAGUGAAAGACGGUUUUGCUGUCACUUAUAGAUGGUUCCGCGCCGCAUUAGCUAGUUGGUAAGGUAACGGCUUACCAAGGGUACGAUGCGUAGCCGACCUGAGAGGGUGAUCGGCCACACUGGAACUGAGACACGGUCCAGACUCCUACGAGAGGCAGCAGUAGGGAAUCUUCCGCAAUAGGCGAAAGCUUGACGGAGCGACGCCGCGUGAGUGAUGAAGGUCUUCGGAUCGUAAAACUCUGUUAUUAGGGAAGAACAAAUGUGUAAGUAACUAUGCACGUCUUGACGGUACCUAAUCAGAAAGCCACGGCUAACUACGUG
rnacentral:rRNA from 1 species